UACUUCGAAAAUUUGUUCAAGAAAAUGCUAUUGUGAUAAUUGUCUCGUGGUUUUAACUAAGGCUCAAAGGAAAUCAUCAUCGAUUACAAAUGAUUUUCAGAGGGUUGAACAAUGUAAGUGAGUAGGUUUCCCGGUGCCAUGUCC